CUGACGGAGCAACGCCGCGUGAGCGAUGAAGGCCUUCGGGUCGUAAAGCUCUGUUGUUAGGGAAGAACAAGUAUCGGAGUAACUGCCGGUACCUUGACGGUACCUAACCAGAAAGCCACGGCUAACUACGUGCCAGCAGCCGCGGUAAUACGUAGGUGGCAAGCGUUGUCCGGAAUUAUUGGGCGUAAAGCGCGCGCAGGUGGUUCCUUAAGUCUGAUGUGAAAGCCCACGGCUCAACCGUGGAGGGUCAUUGGAAACUGGGGAACUUGAGUGCAGAAGAGGAAAGUGGAAUUCCACGUGUAGCGGUGAAAUGCGUAGAGAUGUGGAGGAACACCAGUGGCGAAGGCGACUUUCUGGUCUGUAACUGACACUGAGGCGCGAAAGCGUGGGGAGCGAACAGGAUUAGAUACCCUGGUAGUCCACGCCGUAAACGAUGAGUGCUAAGUGUUAGAGGGUUUCCGCCCUUUAGUGCUGCAGCAAACGCAUUAAGCACUCCGCCUGGGGAGUACGGCCGCAAGGCUGAAACUCAAAGGAAUUGACGGGGGCCCGCACAAGCGGUGGAGCAUGUGGUUUAAUUCGAAGCAACGCGAAGAACCUUACCAGGUCUUGACAUCCUCUGACAACUCUGGAGACAGAGCGUUCCCCUUCGGGGGACAGAGUGACAGGUGGUGCAUGGUUGUCGUCAGCUCGUGUCGUGAGAUGUUGGGUUAAGUCCCGCAACGAGCGCCA
rnacentral:rRNA from 1 species